AUUUCUUGGGCCGCUCCUGCGGCAUAUGGAGGUUCCCAGGCUAGGGGUCGAAUCGGAGCUGUAGCCACCGGCCUACGCCAGAGCCACAGCACUGCGGGAUCCGAGCCGUGUCUGUGAUCUACACCACAGCUCACGGCAACGCCGGGUCGUUAACCCACUGAGCAAGGGCAGGGACCGAACCCGCAACCUCAUGGUUCCUAGUCGGAUUCGUUAACCACUUAAAUUGAGCAAAUAUUUAUACAUGAACAGUGCUAGGAUGGAAACAUAGUGAUGAACAGAGAACGAGGAGAAGACACUGGGGAAUUCUGCUGGGAUGGUGACAGAGGGCCUUUCCUAGGAACACCCAUUAAAGCCUGACCCAGAGAGGUGAGGGGGAGGAAGAGUUCCCAAGGGCAGUGACUUGAGGUGAGAAACAGGCCAGGCUACUGUCAGAACUGUCAAAGGGCCGUGCGACAGCACCGAGGAGGGACCAGGGCCUUCAGAAGGGGGCGAGGGGUGAGCACACCAAGGGGACCCUGGGGACGUGCCAGGGGCUACAUCUUUCCUUUCUCCAAGGUCCUGAAGCGUGUGCAGCCCUCGUCCAGAGAGACACGCAGAGAUGAAGCUUUUGCUUUGAGAGUGGGCAAGAUCAGCUCAGCAGAUCUGUACUCUUUCAGUUUCUUCUUCCAAGUCCAAACACAUCUAUUUGUAAGACAAACAGAAAGAGCCUAGAGAAGUGACUGAAUAUGAAUGAGACAGGCAAAUGAGACGACAUGGCCUUGGCUUAAUUCUCACAACGCGGCCAUGAGAGAAGCCUGGUGUUCCCCAUUUAUCAGACAAGUCCUCCUAAGUGUGAAGCAACCAGAUCUUUCAAAACAAAUAAACAUUUACAUGCCUGAGCAUCCAGUGGCCUGGAAAGGGCCUAGAAAAGGUUGAACGUAUCAUGCACUCUAUUGUUAGUCAUUACUGCUCCAGGUCUCAGGAGCAUCUAUCCAGAAAAGCCAAGCAACCCUGCCGUUGUCCAAGGCAUGCUUUUCUUCUACUAGUAGGAACGAAUAGCAUGCUCUUUCACCGCAGUUCAGCACCAUGUACAACUCCACACAGGUAUCCCUCUGUUUAAAGAGAAAAAAAAUUCACCUAGAUGGCGAGAAAGCAACCUAAUGAACACAGAAUCCUGUUUUCCAUUUGUGCGGCAGGGUAAAUUUGCAGGUAUGUGCCCACAGGAAAGUUUCUCCACCUGACACAACUGAAUGCUUAACUGUGCAAGAAAAUGAGCCCUGAUGCCUGACAAGGGCUCGAUGUGCUUCACAUUGUCAGCUGGCUCCUUGUCUGCUAAGGGCUCUGCAACACGUCUCCAAGUCUCAAGUAUUCCCUGGGUUUUGAUUUUAUGCCUCUGCCACACCCUAACAGCCACGCACCCCCUUUCCCCAUCCGGGUCCUGAGAAUGUCUCUGCUCUGCAGCUCCCUUCGCAGAGACGCCACCAUGGCCAGAGCCUCGCCCUCCUUUCCUGGAGGCAGUGGCCUAGCAGCACCGAUCCACAGACUACACAUUGUCUACGACACAAUAUACAACACAGUGAACGCCUCUUAAGUGUGCGCCAGGUUACGGGGAAAAGAAUGGGUCGCCUCCUAUUUCCAUCAAUGUAACUAGUUCACCAUCACAUUACACGCUCAGAAUCAAAGGUCGUUGUACAUGGGGUGUGGGAAUGACAAGAACUUCCCGCUUUGGAAUGCGACUGAUGGAAUAAAAGCAGGAAAAUAUGAAAUUCUUUACGUGGGGCAGCUUUUCAGUGGGUCAUACAGUAAUGGCCCCCAUUAGAGCUCAUUUCCUUUUAAAGUCACACAGCACAGCGACACACAGUGUGAAGCAAAAUGUCUUGCUUGCAUUUCUGGAGCCGUUGAAAUGGUCUCUUUGUCAGGGGUGUACUCAAUAACCGCUUUCCGUCUCCACCAAGGAGAAUACUCUCUAGGCCAAGAUGCAGAAAAGGUUAUUCUAAUUCUGCAGUGACUGAAUAUAUAAUUUAAAUUGUAUUCUUAAUUUUCAAUUCUACCGCAUAUUAGCCUCGCUUCGGAAAAACCACAAGUUGAAAAUGAGGUAGGGAGAAAAGCCAUUAUGAAUGAUGUCCAUUACGGAAUAGCCAGGCUGGAGAAAAGACUUCCUGGAAUCGGAGCUCUUUGAAGGGUUUACGUUUAUGCGCAUUCAGAUUCGGUUAAAAUAAACAGCUUGAAUUUCUUCUUUAAAAGGCACUUCUAGGUGUUUUUGUCUUUAGCAUAGAAUCAACAGACUGGACAGAUUUCCCAGGAGGAACUUUGACAGAAUCAGGUAAGUUAUUUAUAGGACGCAGCUGUAUCUUGCCGUGCCCGAACUCCCAUAGGUCCAUGUAAUUAUUUAUUAACAUUUCCACAGCACCGCCUGGGUGCCAGGGGGCGGCCACAGCCCUUUAUAUACAGUAGCCCCCUCGAUCCUGCUGACAACCCUAUGAGGCAAAUACCGCUGUUACCGUCUCCAUGUCCCGGUGAGGAAACAGAGGCAGAGAAGCACUUUGGCCGGAAUUCAACAGCGAGGGAUUCAAACCCCAGCAGUCUGGGCUCCAAGCCCCAGGCUCUGAGCCACUGUGUCAUGUUGCCUCUGAUUAAGGAAAGAUCAAUCACUAACGUUUCUGGGAAGGAAGGAAAGCAGGAAGUGGAGUCCUCUAGCCGUACCUAGGAAGAUCGGGAAGGCACCUGAUCACUCUUUUCAUUCCAUGGGAGCUGUUCUAUUGAGGCCAUCUUCUCAGUACUUUUUUGAAUCACAAGGCCUCCUUGGGUUGUUGCUUAAACCCUGGCCCCACCCUGGCUUUAUCUGCUCCUGCUUGGGUGGACCCACUAAAAGGAAACCACAGGAAAGCCGCUGCUGGUAAGUGUUUUUCUCAGUUCCCUGGUGCUACAAUCUCUGCGCAGGAGCUAAGAGCAAAGCCUCUUUCGGGGAGAAUCCCAAUUUGUUUGUAAAGUGCUUAGCCCCGGGCCUGAAGAUCUCAGUAAAACCUAGGAAAUGUCAUCAUUCUUACCAGUCACACCAUCAUGGCUCUCUCCAGCUCCUCUGUUUAGAGAUAAGGUCAUAGUCAAGACACUGGCACCUAUGACCUUAACAGAACCCUGCCGUGGGCAUUUAGCUUCCUUCUUUAAGAAGUAUUUAUGGAGUUUCCUCAUUUUUGGUCAGGUUCUGUGCCAGGUAUCAUGACGAAUGCGACCCACACAGCUAUCUGCACAGGGCUUGCAGCCUAAUGUUAGAGAAAUAGUUAAAUAAGCAAGUAUGAUACAGAAUCAUUGGUGACAUGGUAAAGGAGAAUAGGGUCCUAUGGGUAAAAGACAAGAGGUGCCUCACCUAGAUAUGGAGAGCUCGAAAGGCUCCAGAAAAAGUAACCUCUAGAUUGGGACCUAAGUACUUAGUUCAUCAAAGCAGGUGGAGGCAAAUUUCCAGGCAGAAGGAACAUCAUGUACAAAACUAUGGAGAACAGUAUGGAGGUUCCUCAGAAAACUCAAUACAGAGCUACCAUAUGACCCAGAAAUCCCACUCCUGGGCAUAUAUCCAGACACAACUUUCAUUGAAAAAGAUACACACACCUCUGUGUUCACUGCAGCACUAUUCACAAUAGCCAAGAUAUGAAACAACCUGAAUGUCCAUCGGCAGAUGAAUGGAGUAAGAAGAUGUGGUGUACAUACACAAGGGAAUACUACUCAGCCACUAAAAAGGAACAAAAUAAUGCCACUUGCAGCAACAUGGAUGGAACUAGAGACU
rnacentral:lncRNA from 1 species